UCAGGAUGAACGCUGGCGGCGUGGAUAAGGCAUGCAAGUCGUGUGGGUUUAGACCCACGGCAAACGGGUUAGUAAUACAUAGGAACGUACCCUCGAGUCUCGGAUAACCUCCCGAAAGGGAGGAUAAUACGAGAUAGUUCUCUUCGGAGUAAAGAUUUAUCGCUUGAGGAGCGGCCUGUGUCCUAUCAGCUUGUUGGUGAGGUAAAGGCUCACCAAGGCUAUGACGGGUAGGGGAUGUGAGAGCAUGAUCCCCAACAUUGGAACUUAGACACUGUCCAAACACCUACGGGUGGCUGCAGUCGAGAAUCUUCGGCAAUGGGCGAAAGCCUGACCGAGCGACGCCGCGUGGAGGAUGAAGGCCUUCGGGUUGUAAACUUCUUUUGCAAGGGAAGAAACCGUGUUCGGCACGGAGGAUCUUAUUAUAUUUUUAUAAUUGGGUUUUUCGUGUUGAAUGCGGCUGACGGUACCUUGCGAAUAAGGGGUUGCUAACUCUGUGCCAGCAGCAGCGGUAAUACAGAGACCCCAAGCGUUAUCCGGAUUUAUUGGGCGUAAAGCGUGUGUAGGCGGCGAUGAUAGUCAGAUGUUAAAUUCCAGCGCUCAACGUUGGAGCUGCAUCUGAAACGUCAUCACUAGAGACAAGUAGAGGUUCAUGGAACAUAUGGUGUAGCAGUGAAAUGCGUUGAUAUCAUAUGGAACGCCAAAGGCGAAGGCAGUGAACUGGGCUUUGUCUGACGCUGAGACACGAAAGCGUGGGUAGCGAACGGGAUUAGAUACCCCGGUAGUCCACGCCGUAAACGUUGCCUACUAGGUCUGGGGAGUAUCGACCCUCUCCGGACCGAAGCUAACGCGUUAAGUAGGCCG
rnacentral:rRNA from 1 species